rnacentral:rRNA from 1 species
AUUGAACGCUGGCGGCAUGCCUUACACAUGCAAGUCGAACGGCAGCACGGGAGCAAUCCUGGUGGCGAGUGGCGAACGGGUGAGUAAAGUAUCGGAACGUGCCCAGUCGUGGGGGAUAACGUAGCGAAAGUUACGCUAAUACCGCAUACGAUCUAUGGAUGAAAGCGGGGGAUCGCAAGACCUCGCGCGAUUGGAGCGGCCGAUAUCAGAUUAGGUAGUUGGUGGGGUAAAGGCUCACCAAGCCGACGAUCUGUAGCUGGACUGAGAGGACGACCAGCCACACUGGGACGGAGACACGGCCCAGACUCCUACGGGAGGCAGCAGUGGGGAAUUUUGGACAAUGGGCGAAAGCCUGAUCCAGCCAUGCCGCGUGCAGGAUGAAGGCCUUCGGGUUGUAAACUGCUUUUGUACGGAACGAAAAGGUUUGGGCUAAUAAGCUGAGCUCAUGACGGUACCGUAAGAAUAAGCACCGGCUAACUACGUGCCAGCAGCCGCAGUAA